rnacentral:lncRNA from 1 species
GUGGUGUUUGCUCGGAGACUUUGAAUCAUACUUUCCUCUCUUGCUCGUUCACUGCAUCAAUUUGGAGUCACUUUGGCUCUAUUUUUGAGUUAGGUAUGAUUCCUUCUUCUAUUUUGGAGCUUUAUGGGUUGGGUUUGCAGAAUGGAAGAAGUCCUCAAUUAAUGGAACUAUGGCUUAUUUGCUUUACCUCCAUUUUGUGGUUUGUUUGGCAUGUGAGAAAUAAAACCAGAUUUGAUGGUUGUCGCUUUUCAGUUGAAGUUGUUUGCAAGCUAAUAUCAAGUCAUAUAAGAGCCACUAGUCAUCUUACAACGGGUCAUAUGCAUAACAGUGUCCAGGAGCUACGAAUUUUGAAAUGUUUUGGAGCCCCAUGUCGACCUCGUGCCACUCCUAGAGUGGUUGAAGUUAAUUGGAUUCCUCCUUCUCUUGGGUGGGUGAAGAUAAAUUCUGAUGGCUCUUGGAAGCAUGAAGAGGGAGUGGGUGGUUAUGGUGCUAUUUUUAGAGAUUACAAGGGCCACUUUCUAGGUGCUUUUGCCUCUAAUCUUGAAAUUCCUAGUUCAAUUUCAGCGGAGAUAAUGGCUGUUAUUAAAGCUAUUGAGCUUGCUUGGGUUCGUGAUUGGAAGCAUAUUUGGUUGGAAGUUGACUCAUCUUUGGUACUUGAUUAUAUUCGCAGACCUUCUCUUGUUCCUUGGCCUCUUCGAGUUCGUUGGUUGAAUUGCUUAUACCGAAUCUCUAAAAUGAAUUUCAAGGCUACUCAUAUUUUUCGUGAAGGGAAUAAGAUAGCUGAUGCUCUGGCAAAUCAAGGUACGUCAUGCUCUGAAUUGAUAUGGUGGGAUGAGCCUCCACCUUUCAUAUUAUUGUCUUAUAAUAACGAUGUUAGAG